GGGCGUCCGCUUGACUGGAAAGGUACAAAUGUUCUUGAUGCAGUUUCAGUCUUCAGCAAUUUGUCUCGUCCAAGUACGUGUAUGCAGUUUCAGUUCUUGAGCAAUUUCAGAUCGAUGUUGCUUUGUUUCUUGGUUAUAAUCUGUGUCUGCUUGUGCUGCUUUAGAUUUAGGAGAGGUCCCUGGUAAAUGGCUCGGCAAAUGCAUAUAUCAUACGGGGUUAAGAAAAAGUGAGUCUUGAUGAGUUGAACGUACAGCAGUGAUAUUAUUAAUCUGAAAUAUACAUGCAUCUGGUAGUCACCAAGGAGUCUCACAAUGUUUUGGUUUGGUAUAUAAUCUGAAUCUGAAACACACAUGCAUCUGGUAUUCACUAAGGAUGCUCACGAUCUGGUAAUAUUUAUUUUGGUCCAACAAAAAAGUGGGUUACAAACGUUAUUCUGAACAUCCUAAAAUAUAUAAUCGUUCUGUAGAUCUGGGUUGUGUGCUUGUUUUUGAGCUGUUGAGAUGAUGCUUGUUGUAUUUAAAUUACUUAUUCCUUAGUAUCUAAACUAGAGCAUUAAGCUGUACUGGUUUUGUUUAUCAUUCAUAUGAGGACACCCAAGUAAGCAAGGGUUGCUUCCCUAGUGACCUACUCUUCAUAACUGACCGCUGUUCUUUUGUCAUUGAUUUUGAAGAGAAAGUAUUUGUUGAUAGUGAGAGUGAGGAUAAUGAUGGGGUGAGUGAGGAUGGGGAAGAUGCUCCAUCCAUGCAUGAUCAGCAAGAGGCGCAAAUGCAAGUGGAAAAAGAGACACAAAUUCAAGUGGAAAAGGACGCACCACCAACAGAUGGCAAUUUGGAGACAUGUAGAUCUGUACGGCUUGUCAAGAAGAAGACCAAGGGCGUCAACAGCCUAUACCCCGCUGCUUAGAAAUCUGCUGGCAAGUAUCUUCUUUCUAGUGUUUUAUGAUUCAUGAUAAUUGCUUAGAAAAUUUUAGUUACUUGGAGCUGCUAGUUUCUUAGAUGUAUAAACUUUCUAUCCAUGCCUAGCCUUCGUUGUCAUGUUAAGCAAUGUAUUUAUGUUAUCCUGAAAUGUUACCACUUGACUAUUGUUGCACUAGACACCUCCCUGUUAGUCCAUUUUAUUUCAUUAUGCAUAAAGUGGAAGAAGAAAAUUCUGAUGUUGAACUACAUCAAUCCUGAUCCUUUCUUUGUUUUCUCUAUAUGAACUAGAAAUGCCACAUGAAGAACUAAGGAUAUCAAGAAGCUUUUGGAUGUAUGCAAGCUUGGAGCUGUUGUUUUAUAGGUAUAUUAACCACUGUAUUUGUCAUGCAAUAUGUUUGAGCUUAUGCAUGAAUUUUGAUUCACAUUUUUCACCGUGGAUUUUCCUUUUGUAUGACAAUUGACAAAUGGCUAGUCCAAGCCAACAGUGGGCUGUUUGUGUCUAUGUUGCUUUCUUUGUAUCCUUAGAGUUUUGUUGUGCUGGAGUAAAAACCGUAAACUAGAAUUCAUCAUUCUAGUAUAUGGAGGCAUUUAACCUUUGCUCCUGAAGCUUUUUGGUGAAUAAAAAACUAUAUUGCUGUAGUAGAUUUGUUAUUUGAUUCAUGAGCAUGCAUAAAUUUGACUAUUGUUCUACUAGCCACUUGUCCUGUUAGUCCAUUUUAGUUUUAAUGCACAAAGUUGCAGAAAAUAAUUCUGAUGCAGAACUACCUCCAUCCUGACCCUUCCUCUGUUUUCUCUAAACCAGAAAUGGCACUUGAAGAAUAACCAAGGAUAUCAAGAAGCUUUUGGAUGUAGGCAAGCUUGGAGCUGCUGUUUCAAUGUCAUGCUUUGAUAGUUGUCUUUUGGAGCUGUUGUUUCUAUGUGUAAUACUUUAAGUCUGUUGGCUGUACCGGACUAUUUAAACUCUGAACUAUGCUGUGAUGGUUGAACUGAUGUUGGACUGUUAAGGGUUAUGUUGGAGGCCACUUUAUAACUAAUGUGUGCCUGUUAUGUUGGACAGAUGCAGUUUUAUUAAUCCCUGAAGCUUAUUUGCUGAAAUUUACAUGAUCAAACCUGAUGGUUGUUGCGCUGC
rnacentral:lncRNA from 1 species